AAGCAAGAGCAGCAAGGUUUGGUGGAAAUUCAAAUUUUGAUUCUAGAGCAAAGUGGGGGAGAGAGAAAUCUGUAAGUCUGCCAUCGCAACUUGCUCAAAUAAAAGACAAAUCAACUGCUUCUGGUGAUUCAAAUGUCCAGUUUAAUGACAGUAAGGCUGUUGAUUCUCAAUUAAUAAGCAAGAUGAAACUUGCUGACAUUGAGAAGAGGCCUCCUAGGGUGCCAAGGCCACCUCCUAAACCAUCUGCUAGUUCUCCAGUUGGCGCAAAUACCAGUCCUUCAAUUGGAGCACCACCUCCUCCACCAGGUGCCCCACCACGUCCACCACCACCGCCUGGUGGACCACCUCAUCCACCUCCUCCACCUGGAAGCUUGUCAAGAGGGGCAGGAAGUGGUGAUA
rnacentral:misc_RNA from 1 species